ensembl:ncRNA F26D11.19 ncRNA
UUCUCAUACUCACAAACAUGAAAGAUGGCAAAAGUAUUAAUUGGAGAGGAGCCUCCGUAGUGUGCUUCGGCUUCUUUUAUUGAAGUCUUCGAAGUGUCCGACAUUGAUCCGAAGUGUGACGGCGACAACGACCACUUGAAGACGGCGAAAAACUUAGAGGCGCCCCGGUCGGAGCAAAAGAAGACGCAAAAAGGGGCAAAAAGGGAA